CUUGAUCGACCCCAGCCACAGCGGCCGGUCCGGCGACCGGUCCCGCCCGUACGUGGUCAGCAGAGCCUGCACCUC
rnacentral:antisense_RNA from 1 species